rnacentral:tRNA from 1 species
GGUCUGUAGCUCAGUUGGUUAGAGCGCACCCCUGAUAAGGGUGAGGUCGCAGUYAAGUCUGCCCAGACCA